rnacentral:rRNA from 1 species
GAUCAUGGCUCAGGAUGAACGCUAGCUACAGGCUAACACAUGCAAGUCGAGGGGCAGCAUAUCGGUAGCUUGCUACUGAUGAUGGCGACCGGCGCACGGGUGAGUAACGCGUAUCCAACCUUCCCCUUAGUAGGGCAUAGCCCGGCGAAAGUCGGAUUAAUACCCUAUGUUAUCCAGCGAUGGCAUCUGAAUUGGAUUAAAGGUUUACCGCUAAGGGAUGGGGAUGCGUCUGAUUAGGUUGUUGGCGGGGUAACGGCCCACCAAGCCAUCGAUCAGUAGGGGUUCUGAGAGGAAGGUCCCCCACAUUGGAACUGAGACACGGUCCAAACUCCUACGGGAGGCAGCAGUGAGGAAUAUUGGUCAAUGGGCGAGAGCCUGAACCAGCCAAAGUAGCGUGCAGGAAGACGGCCCUAUGGGUUGUAAACUGCUUUUAUACAGGGAUAAAGUCGGGGACGUGUCCCCGUUUGCAGGUACUGUAUGAAUAAGGACCGGCUAAUUCCGUGCCAGCCGCCGC